CACCAACUGAGAAACAUGCUCCUCCAGGAUUAGGAACUUUUGCUUUCAAUAAUCCAACGUAGCAGCCGUGAUGUCAUUUUUGUAUUUCAGGAAGACUGGCAGAAAGUUGCUUUGAUUCUUCCUCAAAGUAUUUAAAAUCAGCUACAGUCCAAAAUUGCUUUUUCUUCAAGGAGAUUUAUGGAAAAGACUAUGAAAAGGACUCUUGAAUACAAGUUCCUGAUAACUUCAAGAUCAUACCACUGGACUAAGAACUUUCAAAAUUUUGAUGAACAGGCUGAUACCUUCAUGAAAUUCAAGACAAAGAAGAAAAGAACUCCAUUUCAUUGGACUAAAUAACAAAAGGAUAAUGUUUUCAUAAUUUUUUAUUGGAAAAUGUGCUGAUUUUUUGAAUGUUUUAUCCUCCAGAUUUAUGAAUUUUUUUCUUCAGCAAUUGGUAAAGUAUACUUUUGUAAACAAAAAUUGAAACAUUUGCUUUUGCUCUCUGAGUGCCCCAGAAUUGGGAA
rnacentral:lncRNA from 1 species